rnacentral:rRNA from 1 species
AGAGCGAACGCUGGCGGCAGGCCUAACACAUGCAAGUCGAACGGACCCUUCGGGGUUAGUGGCGGACGGGUGAGUAACACGUGGGAACGUGCCUUUAGGUUCGGAAUAGCUCCUGGAAACGGGUGGUAAUGCCGAAUGUGCCCUUCGGGGGAAAGAUUUAUCGCCUUUAGAGCGGCCCGCGUCUGAUUAGCUUGUUGGUGAGGUAAUGGCUCACCAAGGCUACGAUCGGUAGCUGGUCUGAGAGGAUGACCAGCCACAUUGGGACUGAGACACGGCCCAAACUCCUACGGGAGGCAGCAGUGGGGAAUCUUGCGCAAUGGGCGAAAGCCUGACGCAGCCAGUGCCGCGUGUAUGAUGGAAGGUCUUAGGAUUAGUAAAAUACUUUACACCGGUAGAAGAUAAGUGACUGUAGACCGGAGAAGAACGACCCCGGACUAACGUUCCGCGACCACGACACGCCGAC